UGACUCAGUGGUAGAGUACUUGCCUUGCAUGCAUGAAGUCCUGGGUUCAAUUCCUCAG
rnacentral:tRNA from 1 species